rnacentral:sRNA from 1 species
UGGUUUGGGCGGCAUUUCUAGUUCACUGAUACUCCUUUCCAACAUCUCUAUGACCCUGCUCAUCGAAGGACGAGUUUCAGGUGUCAUUUGUAUGCACCACAGUCCAACUAUGGUCAUCUUUCUUGCAAUCUCUUCGGUUCCAUAUGCCGUUUCACAACAUUGCAUCUCACUCACCAGACUGUCAUAAACCCAAUGUGGGAAAAAUGUUUCACUGAAAUUAUCUGCAAUUCCUUUUAUGUUUUUUCUUACUUUGACUAUUUCCAAAAGCAGCAUCCCGUAGCUAUAGACAUCUGAUUUGGUUGACACAACUCCGAAUCCUCUGGAGAAUACUUCUGGAGCAAUAAAACCAAUGGUUCCUCUCGCUUCCGCCAUCGAAAGGAUGCUCUCGUUGAGGUGGCAUAGCUUGGCUAAUCCAAAAUCUGCAAUUUUUGGACAAAACUCAUGAUCAAGAAGGAUGUUGCGAGGCUUGAUAUCGAAAUGGAUGAUGCGGGUGUUGCAGCCCUGGUGCAGAUACUCCAGUCCUCGUGCGAUGCCGAUCACAAUUUUUAGCAGCAUCUCCCAUCCUGUAGCUAGAUUUGAACUUUCUGAAUGAAUGUAAUUCUUCAAAGAACCAUUAGGCAUGUACUCGUAGACAAGCGCUCGCUUUGGUCCCUCUAAACAAAAACCGAGUAGAGUGACAAUGUUAACAUGAGAUGUCCGACUGAUGCUCAUAACUUCAUUUAGGAAAUCCUCUCCAUUGCCUUUUGAUACUGUCAAGAUCUUCACUGCAACCAUUCUGCCAUUUUGUAGUCUUCCCUUGAAUACUACACCAUAGCCACCUUCUCCUAAAUUAUCUUCAAAUGAUUUAGUUAUUUUCUUCAACUCUGAGUACUUGUACCUUUUGAGAGCAAGAGAUUCACAUUUUUUCAACAUUUCUUCUUCAUUUUUCGUAUUGCCAGAGUAAACUCCGCAGAUUGCUGAUCUGAACUUUUGCCUCUGACGGUACAUCAGCCAAGCAAGAAAGGCGAAAACCAAGCCAGCCGCAGCAGA